UCUCUUUUUUUCUACUCUGCUGUAAAAUGUGACAACAUUAAUCAAAUCUCUUUACAAUCUCCUGCCAAAAAAAGACACCAUUACACUUUGACUUUGACAAAAAACCGACACAAGAAGCCUGCACAAGCUACACGAUUCUAAAUGAGAAAAGGAAAGGAAUUUUGGUGGGUGUGACGACGAUGGAAUAAGAGUCUAAUGCUUUACAACAGACUUAGGCAGAUGGGAUUGUGAAAACCACUAUUAAAAUAAAUUAUCUAGUGGUACAACAAACAAUACGGGUUGAGAAGGGUGAGAAGAUUGGAUAAAAAAAGUGUUGCUGCUUUUUAAGGACUGAAACGAAUUGGAAUUUCUAUUUCAUUUACAGGAUGGGGUGGGUUGAAAUGGAUUCUCAACUCGGCAACAACAACUCGACAACAAUCAGUAACAUUAUACUAAAUGUGAUGAUGAAUAAUGGGGACCUUAAUUUUUUGACGGCACGAUUUUUCCAUCCAUUAUCUUAAUGCUCAAUUCCGUUUUAAUUAAAAAAUAGCCUCACCACCACCACUCAACUAUUAUUCAUCAAGACAUCACAGUCUCAAUUAAGAUGAGGCUAUUAAUCAAAAUCAAACGAAUUAAGAAUUCAUCAGUAUCAUUAUUACCGUCGACAUUUAAAUAUUUCACAUGGAUGGCGUUUGGUUUAAAAUGUGGAAAAUCAUUCAUUCAAACUUUCAAACGUUUAAGUAGAUAGAAAAUCCACCAAUUUACGAGUCAUGCUGCAUAAUUGCAUCUCUUUUUCUCUCUCCCUCUCUCUCUCUCUCUACCUUGAAAUCACCAAUAAAUUCAACUAAAAAAGACCAAUAAAACAAUCUGCACCAUUGUAUCAAACCUAAAACAGCACAGAAAACAAUUCAAGCGACACGAGCAGAAAAGUGCAACGCUUUUAAAUAAAGAAAAGGUCUGAAUAGCAUAUCACCAGCACCACCACAAUAUAAAG